CACAGGCAGCUCCAAACACUCAUUUUGUUUUCUUCCUUUUUUGGGGACUGAAGGGUGGAGCCAGACCGGGCAGAGGUCAGAGCAGCCCUCGAGCUACUUCAAUCCAUACAAUCAGGCACAGGCCCUGAAGGAGGUUUGCCACCUCCUUCAGCUCUUCCCUUUGCAGCCCUCCUUUGGGCCCUGAGGAGUUAAGGUUCUGCUCUGCGGCCAGGGAGCUGUAAUGUGCAGGACAGCUGCUUUUCUUCUAUUCUAGAGACAUUUGAGAUUUGAGACCAAGUAAAUUGUCCAUUUAGAUGCUUGAGUUGCUGGACCUGGUUAGCUUUUGCUGUAAAGCAGCCCUUUUUGGCAUCUGAUGUGAAAAUCACACGGCAGAAUAAAUUUAAAAGGUGAUCCUGUGCCAAGACUGUGGCAAAGUCGAAGAGCCUUUUUGAUCAAUCUGCCUUUUGCCUUCUUAUGCAGCGACCCAGCAAUGCAGAACGAAUCACUGACUGAUUCUUGGAGGAGCAAUCCAAUGGCCAUAAUUGCUGGGAGCAGGGGGGGUGGGAAUGUUUGGGGUUUAUUUACACUCUAAACCACUUCAGGAUGGGGAGGAAGAAAGUGUAUUCUUGACUAUCUUGUGACCUCUGGGAUGGGAAUUCCAUUCUGGAACGUCCCAAAUCCAUGUGUGCUUGGGGCUUCUGGGCUGGCAGGACCAGUUGCUCCAGUGUGGCAGCUCCUGCCAGCUUCUCCAGGACAUCAGGUUUUCAGAGAGCCAUAGCACACAGCACAGAGAAUUUGGCCUGAAACAUUUUGCUUCAUUGAUUUUUAAAUACCACUCCUUGACACCCAGAAAUAAAUACAGAUGUAUGGAAAAACAGCAAGUCUCAGUCUGGUCCCUGGAUCACCCUGGUGCCAUGUAAGGGGCAGGCACAAGAUGUCUUGCCUUGAUUCUGGGAAAUCAUAAUAAUAAUAAAAUAGAUCUAUAAAUUAUUCAGAGCUCAUGAGCUAUUGCCUAAUGUUGCUUGGGGCCAAGCACAGGGGUGUGGGUGAGGGAGCCAGAAAUCUGUCGUGGUGAGAGGAUGCCACCCCGGGCUCGUGGCACCUGACUGGUCUGAGGCACAUUUCACUGGCUUAGGACAGGAUCUGGCAAGGAGCACCGGCAUUUGAAGGCAUAACUCUGCUCUCUGGUGUUUCCUUCUCUUUAAGGCGGUAACCCUCUGCGGGAGCGGCGCACCGGAGGAGGCUGGCGCUGGUGCCAGGCGUCGGUGCUCCGGAGGUGCCAGAGCACCUUGGUGGUGGCAGAACACAACAAUGAAUCCCUCACCCCCAUCACCCUCAACACCAUCACUGCAGCAAAGCGCCUGGGAGGAGAGGUCUCCUGUCUGGUGGUUGGUA